rnacentral:rRNA from 1 species
GGAACUCAAAGGAGACUGCCAGUGAUAAACUGGAGGAAGGUGGGGAUGACGUCAAGUCAUCAUGGCCCUUACGACCAGGGCUACACACGUGCUACAAUGGCGCAUACAAAGAGAAGCGACCUCGCGAGAGCAAGCGGACCUCAUAAAGUGCGUCGUAGUCCGGAUUGGAGUCUGCAACUCGACUCCAUGAAGUCGGAAUCGCUAGUAAUCGUGGAUCAGAAUGCCACGGUGAAUACGUUCCCGGGCCUUGUACACACCGCCCGUCACACCAUGGGAGUGGGUUGCAAAAGAAGUAGGUAGCUUAACCUUCGGGAGGGCGCUUACCACUUUGUGAUUCAUGACUGGGGUGAAGUCGUAACAAGGUAACCGUAGGGGAACCUGCGGUUGGAUCAC